rnacentral:rRNA from 1 species
CCUACGUGAGGCAGCAGUGGGGAAUAUUGGACAAUGGGGGCAACCCUGAUCCAGCCAUGCCGCGUGUGUGAAGAAGGCCCUCGGGUUGUAAAGCACUUUCAGUGAGGAAGAACGCCUGGUGGUUAAUACCCAUCAGGAAAGACAUCACUCACAGAAGAAGCACCGGCUAACUCCGUGCCAGCAGCCGCGGUAAUACGGAGGGUGCGAGCGUUAAUCGGAAUUACUGGGCGUAAAGCGCGCGUAGGUGGCUUGAUAAGCCGGUUAUGAAAGCCCCGGGCUCAACCUGGGAACGGCAUCCGGAACUGUCAAGCUAGAGUGCAGGAGAGGAAGGUAGAAUUCCCGGUGUAGCGGUGAAAUGCGUAGAGAUCGGGAGGAAUACCAGUGGCGAAGGCGGCCUUCUGGACUGACACUGACACUGAGGUGCGAAAGCGUGGGUAGCAAACAGGAUUAGAUACCCCAGUAGUC